CCUACGGGGAGCUGCAGUGAGGAAUAUUGGUCAAUGGCCGAGAGGCUGAACCAGCCAAGUAGCGUGAGGGAUGACGGCCCUACGGGUUGUAAACCUCUUUUGUCGGGGAGCAAAGAGAGGCACGUGUGGCUCAUUGAGAGUACCCGAAGAAAAAGCAUCGGCUAAAUCCGUGCCAACAGCCGCGGUAAUACGGAGGAUGCGAGCGUUAUCCGGAUUUAUUGGGUUUAAAGGGUGCUUAGGCGGAGGUUAAAGUAAGUGGUAAAAUUGUGGGGCUCAACCCCAUAUUGGCGUUGAAACUGCAUCCCUUGAGUGCUAUAGAAGUAGGCGGAAUGCGUGGUGGAGCGGUGAAAGGCAGAGAUAUCACGCAGAACUCCGAUUGCGAAGGCAGCAUACCGGCGCGCAACUGACGCUCAUGCACGAAAGCGUGGGUAUCGAACAGGAUUAGAUACCCCGGUAGUC
rnacentral:rRNA from 1 species